rnacentral:rRNA from 1 species
CCCUACGGGACGCAGCAGUGGGGGAUAUUGCACAAUGGGGGAAACCCUGAUGCAGCGACGCCGCGUGGGUGAAGAAGCGCCUCGGCGCGUAAAGCCCUGUCAGCAGGGAAGAAAAUGACGGUACCUGAAGAAGAAGCCCCGGCUAACUACGUGCCAGCAGCCGCGGUAAUACGUAGGGGGCAAGCGUUAUCCGGAUUUACUGGGUGUAAAGGGAGCGUAGACGGCGGCGCAAGCCAGAUGUGAAAGCCCGGGGCUCAACCCCGGGACUGCAUUUGGAACUGUGACGCUAGAGCGGCG